CACGUAGGGUGCGAGCGUUGUCCGGAAUUAUUGGGCGUAAAGAGCUCGUAGGCGGUGUGUCGCGUCGGCCGUGAAAACUUGCAGCUUAACUGUGGGCGUGCGGUCGAUACGGGCAUCACUGGAGUUCGGCAGGGGAGACUGGAAUUCCUGGUGUAGCGGUGAAAUGCGCAGAUAUCAGGAGGAACACCGGUGGCGAAGGCGGUUCUCUGGGCCGAUACUGACGCUGAGGAGCGAAAGCGUGGGGAGCGAACAGG
rnacentral:rRNA from 1 species